rnacentral:rRNA from 1 species
GACGAACGCUGGCGGCGUGCCUAAUACAUGCAAGUAGAACGCUGAAGGAGGAGCUUGCUUCUCUGGAUGAGUUGCGAACGGGUGAGUAACGCGUAGGUAACCUGCCUGGUAGCGGGGGAUAACUAUUGGAAACGAUAGCUAAUACCGCAUAAGAGUAGAUGCUGCAUGACAUUUGCUUAAAAGGUGCAAUUGCAUCACUACCAGAUGGACCUGCGUUGUAUUAGCUAGUUGGUGGGGUAACGGCUCACCAAGGCGACGAUACAUAGCCGACCUGAGAGGGUGAUCGGCCACACUGGGACUGAGACACGGCCCAGACUCCUACGGGAGGCAGCAGUAGGGAAUCUUCGGCAAUAGACGGAAGUCUGACCGAGCAACGCCGCGUGAGUGAAGAAGGGUUUCGGAUCGUAAAGCUCUGUUGUAAGAGAAGAACGAGUGUGAGAGUGGAAAGUUCACACUGUGACGGUAUCUUACCAGAAAGGGACGGCUAACUACGUG